CCCUUAGAUGUCCUGGGCCGCACGCGCGUUACACUGAUGCAUUCAACGAGCUUAUAACCUUGGCCGAGAGGCCUGGGCAAUCUUGUUAACGUGCAUCGUGAUAGGGAUAGAUUAUUGAAAUUAUUAAUCUUGAACGAGGAAUUCCUAGUAAACGCAGAUCACCAAUCUGCAUUGAUUACGUCCCUGCCCUUUGUACACACCGCCCGUCGCACCUACCGAUUGGAUGGUCCGGUGAAGCCUCGGGAUUGUGGUUCUUGCCGCUUUGUUGUGGCGUGACCGCGAGAACUUGUCUAAACCUUAUCAUCUAGAGGAAGGUGAAGUCGUAACA
rnacentral:rRNA from 1 species